GGGUGCAGGCUGACGCGUCGCCUCUGGGAGAACCGGGAGACCCGCGGCGAGCAGAGUUGAGGACCGGCCAGCGGGGCGUCCCGGGGCUAGACCUGGGAGAUGUCCGAGUGACUGGGGGAGCCCCGGCCGUGCAAGGUGAGAACUCAGAGACGCGGGUGGAAGGCCAGGCGGGUGACCGGCGGGACCUUCCCAGAGCCCAGCGCACCUGGGAACAGGGGGCGUUGAGGUGGCAGCUAGGUCAGGGUGUCUCCGACCGCGGACACCCACUGCUGAGCACGGAGACAUUCCUUCUGAAGAACCAGGAAAGAGGUGCCAGUUUGCGAGAGGGGCGGAACUAACUUCUAGCCGGGGCCCGCUGUGCGCCAGGCACCGAGCUGAGCGCUCGGAUAAGGAGUGCGCGGCGGCGAAGCGGUGAAGGCAGUAAAGAGUGAUCUUUCCAGACGUUUGGCAGUGAGCCGGAGAGGCCUGUAGCUCAAGAGGUAGUAAGAGUAAAGGAGACAGGUGAUUUCUUUCUCUUUCCCCCACCCCAGCCCCCUCACCCAGCAUGACGUGGAGCUCUGAAAAGAGCUGGGGGGGGGGGGGGGGGAUAAGAGAUGGGGUCAUUAACGGCGCAAGAUCUCAGAAAAGGAAAAUGAGGAAGGGGUGGUGGAGAGGGAGGAAGAAAUCAGAGAAGGGACACACCUCUUCCUACAAGACUUCAAGGAUGCAUGCAUAAACAGAAAUAUUUUGAGAUGGGGAGGAGGCCUCCUGAGCCCUGCAUGUUUCCAUGCAUCAGCUGCCUAGAUGACCCUAAAGUCAUCCAUAGGCCUUCUGAGGUUACUGCCCUUUCAGACUUCAGCGCAACUGGCUCAGAUCCCUAUUCCUCUUAAAGUGGGAAACCCUGCCUACCUGCCAACAUUUCCAAUUCUCCUAAUUAUCCUAUUGCUCCAAUUAUUUCUCCUAAUUUACGGUUCUCGUAAUUAUCCUAUUGGCCCCAAUUUUCUGUUGCCGGUAUUCCACUGUGCGCUUUUAGGAAAUUUGUCACUAUAGCCUGGGUACCACCCCAUCUAUAUUCCCCCCAGAUAUAGCACCAUAUGUGAAAACAAAGCACCCAGUGUUAUAUGACUGUUAAAUAAAUUAUGGUUUAUUUGUAACCAUUAAAAAUCACGUUGAAGAAAAAGAUCGACGAUAUGGAAAAUAUCAGCAAUUGAAAGGCACAUCAUAAGAUAAUACUAGCUUGUAAUAUAUACACAUACUAUGCAUAUCACGUAUAGAUAUCAUGCUAGAUUUAAAAAAUGGGAUUUUUAUUUUCUGUGAUGUCUUCUUUUUCUUGUUUUUACAGUACAUUACUAUUUCUCUUUAAAUCAGGAAAGGUGAUAUUUUAAAGCAUUUUUAAGAAAUUUUUUUUUUUUUAAGAUCUUUGCGGAGUUGGAAAGAGUUAUUAGGAAUCAAGAAAGGAGGGGAGCCUGGCUGGCUCAAUCAGAAGAGUAUGUGACUAUCCAUCUGAGGGUCAUGACUUCAAGCCCUACCUUGAGCAUGGAGCCUACUUUAAAAAAAAUGAAAAGAGGAAUCAAGGAGAUUGGAAAGGGAUCUUUGAAGGAUGGAAGGGACUUAGGUCAGCACAGAUGGGCUAGUUGAGGAGGCUGCCUUAGGCAGGAGGGACACAAAAUGAGAACUGGAGGGAAUAGUCCAGUAACAGUAGCAGGUCAGUUUCGUUGAAGCAUAGGAUUCAAGGGAGAGAAAAGUAGGAGACCCAGUCUGGAAAAAUAAGAUGGGACCAUAGUCCUAAAUGCCAAGCUGAACCCUUUGUGAUUUGUGGCUGGCAAGAACCACUGGACCUUGAGCUGUGCAGGUGAUAAAUGUCAAAGUAAAUUUUCCUGUAACCUCUUACUUAAUGAGGUUCUGGAUCUCAGCCCUUCUAUCGUAAUGAUAGUCGGACAUGUGAUUGACUCAGAGCAGUGAGGCAGGGGCAACCGUAUUUUGCAUUCCAGCUGCUUACAGAAUGAGAAUUGGCCCUGGCUUCUCUGCCUGUUAAUCACUACAAUUUUUAUUCACAAGGCACCAGAUUUUCAGAGAGAACAGAUUAGCAAAGAGCGAAGCUGAAAGGAAGAAAUGUGCACCUUAAACCAGAGCUUUUUAAAAAAAAAAAAAAGUUUUUUAGAACUUUCUAUGAGUUCCACAGAUAAAUGAGAUCACACAGUAUUUAUCUUUUUCUCUGACUUAUUUCACUUAGCAUAAUGCCCUCAAGGUCCAUCCAUGUUGUCACAAAUGACAGUAUUUCCUUCUCAUAUUGCUGAAUAAUGUUCUUUGCCAACGUUUUUGACUCUGACCUUCUAUACGAAAUAUAUUGCACAUCUCAACCCAGAAUAUACACACACAUGUACACACCUCUGAAAAGGUUUCAUGAAGUAUUACUGUUACUUUAUGCACUGCUGGCUGAGACUUUCAACUUCAUGAUUUUUAUUUCUUUUGAAAUACCGGUCAGAACCUACUACAUUGAUUUUAUAACCCACUACAGGGUUACAAAAUGCUUCAAAGGAUGUUGAAAAGAGGCUAGACUAUUCCCUGCUAUGUUUGCAGUUCUCAUUUAACUAGCCAUACAGACUGUGACCUUAAGUUUGCCAUGUUUACAUGUCCCAGAAAUCAACAGGACAGGUGAGACUCUCGGGAUGUGGUGGGGGUGGGGAUAGAAGGAUUGACACAAGCCAUGUUUAUAUUCCUCUUCCCUUCUUAGCAAAUAUUUCCUGACACCAGCAUCUCUCAGCAGCUGUAAAUGUGUUCUUCUUUGUCUAGCCUGAGAUACAGAUUGAACUUCAGACAAGGCCGGACUACCCUGUAAACCAGAGACAACUUUUCAUUUGAAUGAACAGAAUCACAGACUACAAUGAAAGGGGGAAAAAAUGUAUCUUGACUGUGACAGUACAUAAAAGCUGUCUUACUCACCACUGUUGGAAUAUCAUAGAGACAAUCUCCUGUGCUGCCUCCCACUGGCUGAACCCAAGAGGAAGCCUAAGGGCAAGUGAGCCCUGAUGACAUCGUCCUUCAAGGCCAGCCUCCAGAAAAUGAUGGAGGGUAGAUCUGGAAGGACAAAGGCACAAUAUCUAGCAGUGAGCAUUGUGAUAGGGGAAGUAUGAGGAGCUGAGUGGCCGCCUGGGAGAAUAAUGGACUCCAUCCCCGGAGAUAAGGGAAGGCUUCAGGGGUGGAGGAAGGAAGGAAGAUUGAAGGAACAACAGAUCAUUCGCUCUGAUGGAAGCCAGCUGCCAUGUUGCAAGCUGCCCUAAAGAGAGGUCCCCAUGGCAAGAAGCUGAGGGAGGUCUCGAGUCAACAGCCAGCUAGGAACUGGGGCUUCAAUCCGAUAACCCAAGAACAAUUGAGACCUACCAACAGCCACAGGAGUGGAGCUUGGAAGCAGAACGUUCUUCAGUCAAGCCUUCAGAUGAGACUGCAGUCCCUCUGGACGGUUUGACUAUAACUUCAUGUGAGACUUUGAGUCCAAACCACCCAACCAUGAUGGCCCCAAAUUUCUGACCCAUAGAAAUUGUGAGAUAUUUGUUGUAAUUUUCUUUUUUUUUUAAUUUUUUUAAUGUUUAUUUAUUUUUGAGACAGAGAGAGACAGAGCAUGAACAGGGGAGGGUCAGAGAGAGGGAGACACAGAAUCUGAAACAGGCUCCAGGCUCUGAGCUGUCAGCACAGAGCCCGACGCGGGGCUCGAACUCACGGACCGCGAGAUCAUGACCUGGGCCGAAGUCGGCCGCUUCACCGACUGAGCCACCCAGGCGCCCCUGUUGUGUUAAUUUUCUAAGUUUGGGUGGUAAUUUGUUAUGCAGAAAUAGACAACUAAUUCAUCAGAUCACUGAAAAUGAGGGGGAAAUAAUGAGAAAGGUUUCCAGGUCCUAGCAUGGUUGGAUGACUUUCUCCAGCAGCCCUCGACAACUCCACACAAUGUGCUCAUCCACUUUCUAUACCAUCGAUAUUAUGCAAUGUCCAACAGUAUCUUUUUCCCCCAAUGAUAUCUUUUGAUAAAGGAAUUUUGCCAAAAGCUUAUUUAGCUUUCUUACCAAGCAAAUUUAUCAUUAUUAACAUUAUGACUGACUGUAAAAGCUUCUUAGCCAGAAUGUGACUGUUUUGGCUUUAAAAAAUGCAACCUUAAAGGAUGCCUUUAUAGUUUUGACCACUUCUCCUUAUGUUUAGGGGUAAAUGUUAUCAAUGUCAUUAGGAAGCACUAUUCUGUGAGCUCUUCUUCCAGAAAAAUUUGUUUUAUCAGAUUGGCCACUGAGGUUUUCUUAACAAUGGCACUACAGGGCACCUGGGUGGCUCAGUUGGUUGAGCGGCCGACUUCAGCUCAGGUCAUGAUCUCAUAGCUUGUGGGUUCGAGUCCCGCCUCGGGCUCUGUGCUGACAGCUCAGAACCUGGAGCCUGCUUCGGAUUCUUUGUCUCCCUCUCUCUCUGCCCCUGUCCUGCUCAUGCUCUGUCUCUGUCUCUCUGUAUCUCAAAAAUAAAUAAACAUUAAGAAAAAUUUUUUUAAAA